rnacentral:rRNA from 1 species
AGUGAACGCUGGCGGUAGGCCUAACACAUGCAAGUCGAACGGCAGCACAGUAAGAGCUUGCUCUUACGGGUGGCGAGUGGCGGACGGGUGAGGAAUACAUCGGAAUCUACUUUUUCGUGGGGGAUAACGUAGGGAAAUUUACGCUAAUACCGCAUACGACCUACGGGUGAAAGCAGGGGAUCUUCGGACCUUGCGCGAUUGAAUGAGCCGAUGUCGGAUUAGCUAGUUGGCGGGGUAAAGGCCCACCAAGGCGACGAUCCGUAGCUGGUCUGAGAGGAUGAUCAGCCACACUGGAACUGAGACACGGUCCAGACUCCUACGGGAGGCAGCAGUGGGGAAUAUUGGACAAUGGGCGCAAGCCUGAUCCAGCCAUACCGCGUGGGUGAAGAAGGCCUUCGGGUUGUAAAGCCCUUUUGUUGGGAAAGAGAAGCAGCAGGUUAAUACCCCGCUGUUCUGACGGUACCCAAAGAAUAAGCACCGGCUAACUUCGUG